CUCCUCUGGGGUUCUCCACCAGUCCUGUUGUCCAGGGAGGAGGCAGAAAGGGCCUCCCACCCCUGGGGGCCUGGAGGGUUGGGCGAGGGGGAGUGGGGGGGUGCGGGGGGAGGAGGUCAGACUCAGCUGGCUUCUCAUUUGUUUUCCAAAGGAGAAAAUGGAAAAGGCACAAAGUGCUGCCAACAAAUGCUACUCUGUUGUCCUGGAGAGAGAGAGGGAUAGAGGUGGUCACCUGGGCUGGGGACAAGAGAGCCACCUGGAAAACCUCUCCCAGCUCUCACCUGGAGAAUCACCCCACAGAAGCAUCAGAGCCCAAAGGAUUUUUGAAUGGGAGGUGGAGGAAAUUUCUUCCUGAGAUGGGGAAACUGAGGCACAGAUGUGGUCUUCUGGAGGUCGGGAAGCCAUCAGUGGAGAGUGGUCUCUGGCUCUACCCCUCUACCCACCUUUGUCCAGGGCCCCUGCCCACUGUUAAUGUUCUGGUAUAUUUCCCUCCAGGCUUUUUCUCCGUGUGUGUGUGUGUGUGUGUGUGUGUGUGUGUGUGUGUGUGUGUGUGUGUGUGUGUGUAUUUUAAAUAACAUUGAGAUGGUGCAGAAUGUAUGCUUCUUGCUUCUUUCAUUUGAUGUUAUACCCAAAUACUUCUCCAUAGCAUUUCAAAGAUUUCAGUAAGUGCAUGAAUCUCUGGGCUUUCCUGUGGUUGGACCUUGAGGUUGUCGCCAGUUUUCCCUGCUGUGGAAAAGGCUGAGUGGGCGAGUGGGCGUCCUCAUGCUGGGAGCCUGGGCUGCUCCCGGGGUCACUCCCUUAGGCUAGAACAUGCUCCUCUCUCCGGGUUCCUAGAUAAUCCCACACCUCUUCCUUCUGGGGUUCCUGGGGGGCGGGAAUCCUGUCUGCUUGAGAGACCUUGAGCAAGGUACUUAACUUUUGAGCAAGGUCCUUAACUAUGCCUCAUCAUCUUCCUCUGUAAAACAGGGUAAUAAUAGGGCCUACCCAGGAGG
rnacentral:lncRNA from 1 species